rnacentral:rRNA from 1 species
CAGUAGCCGCGGUAAUACGAAGGGGGCUAGCGUUGCUCGGAAUGACUGGGCGUAAAGGGCGCGUAGGCGGCGAUCAAAGUCAGGCGUGAAAUUCCUGGGCUCAACCUGGGGGCUGCGCUUGAUACUUGGUUGCUUGAGUGGGGAAGAGGGUCGUGGAAUUCCCAGUGUAGAGGUGAAAUUCGUAGAUAUUGGGAAGAACACCGGUGGCGAAGGCGGCGACCUGGUCCUUGACUGACGCUGAGGCGCGAAAGCGUGGGGAGCAAACAGGAUUAGAUACCCCCGUAGUCCCUGUCUCUUAUAC